CCCGCUGAACUUAAGCAUAUCAAUAAGCGGAGGAAAAGAAACUAACAAGGAUUCCCCUAGUAACUGCGAGUGAAGCGGGAAGAGCUCAAAUUUGAAAUCUGGCGGCUUCGCCGUCCGAGUUGUAUUCUGGAGAAGCGUUUUCCGUGCUGGACCGUGUACAAGUCCCUUGGAACAGGGCGUCGUAGAGGGUGAGAAUCCCGUCUUUGACACGGACUGCCAGUGCUCUGUGAUGCGCUCUCGAAGAGUCGAGUUGUUUGGGAAUGCAGCUCAAAAUGGGUGGUAAAUUCCAUCUAAAGCUAAAUAUUGGCGAGAGACCGAUAGCGAACAAGUACCGUGAGGGAAAGAUGAAAAGCACUUUGGAAAGAGAGUGAAACAGUACGUGAAAUUGUUGAAAGGGAAACGCUUGAAGUCAGUCGCGUUGUCCGGGGAUCAACCUUGCUUUUGCUGGGCGUACUUCCCGGUUGACGGGUCAGCAUCAAUUUUGACCGUUGGAUAAAGUCUAGGGGAAUGUGGCAUCUUCGGAUGUGUUAUAGCCCUUGGUCGCAUACAACGGUUGGGAUUGAGGAACUCAGCACGCCGCAAGGCCGGGUAUUCGUACCACGUUCGUGCUUAGGAUGCUGGCAUAAUGGCUUUAAUCGACCCGUCUUGAAACACGG
rnacentral:rRNA from 1 species